ensembl:snRNA
GUGUUGUAUGAAAGGAGAAGAGGUUAGCACUCCCCUUAAGCCUGACAACAUGCAUACGGUUAAGACAUUAGCCCCUACUUCGUGGCAUCUAACCAUUGUAUUUG